CGGGGUGAGUAACGCGUGGGUGACCUGCCCCAUACCGGGGGAUAACAGUUAGAAAUGACUGCUAAUACCGCAUAAGCGCACGGUGUCGCAUGACACAGUGUGAAAAACUCCGGUGGUAUGAGAUGGACCCGCGUCUGAUUAGCUAGUUGGCGAGGUAACGGCCCACCAAGGCGACGAUCAGUAGCCGACCUGAGAGGGUGAUCGGCCACAUUGGGACUGAGACACGGCCCAA
rnacentral:rRNA from 1 species